GGAGAGAUGGCAGAGCCUGGUUGAAUGCGCCGCACUCGAAAUGCGGUUUACCCUUUGGGUAACGGGGGUUCGAAUCCCUCUCUCUCCG
rnacentral:tRNA from 1 species